UGGUAAGUAGUUUAAACAAAAACAAAUGAUUUCGACUCAUUAGAUUAUGAUAACCAUACUAACCAA
rnacentral:tRNA from 1 species